UACGUAGGGGCAAGCGUUGUCCGGAAUUAUUGGGCGUAAAGCGCGUGUAGGCGGCCAGAUAAGUCCGCUGUGAAAUCUCGAGGCUCAACUUCGAGCUGUCGGUGGAAACUGUCUGGCUAGAGUCCGGAAGAGGAGAAUGGAAUUCCUGGUGUAGCGGUGAAAUGCGCAGAUAUCAGGAAGAACACCCGUGGCGAAGGCGGUUCUCUGGGACGGUACUGACGCUGGAGACGCGAAAGCCGUGGGGAGCGAACAGG
rnacentral:rRNA from 1 species